UACAGAGGGUGCAAGCGUUAAUCGGAAUUACUGGGCGUAAAGCGUACGUAGGCGGUCAUGUAAGUCGGGUGUGAAAUCCCCGGGCUCAACCUGGGAAUUGCAUUCGAGACUGCAUGGCUAGAAUGUCGAAGAGGGAAGCGGAAUUUCCGGUGUAGCGGUGAAAUGCGCAGAUAUCGGAAGGAACAUCAGUGGCGAAAGCGGCUUCCUGGUCGAACAUUGACGCUCAGGUACGAAAGCGUGGGGAGCAAACAGG
rnacentral:rRNA from 1 species